rnacentral:rRNA from 1 species
CUUGCUUUCUUGAGAGUGGCGCACGGGUGCGUAACGCGUAUGCAACCUGCCUGUAACUAUCGGAUAGCCCUGCGAAAGUGGGAUUAAUACGAUAUGUGACGGAGAUAUGGCAUCAUAUUUUCGUUAAAGAUUUAUCGGUUACAGAUGGGCAUGCGUGUCAUUAGCUAGUUGGUGAGGUAACGGCUCACCAAGGCUACGAUGACUAGGGGGUCUGAGAGGAUGAUCCCCCACACUGGUACUGAGACACGGACCAGACUCCUACGGGAGGCAGCAGUGGGGAAUAUUGGUCAAUGGGCGGAAGCCUGAACCAGCCAUGCCGCGUGCAGGAUGACGGCCCUAUGGGUUGUAAACUGCUUUUAUAUGGGGAGAAAAAAGUCUAUUUAUAGAUUCUUGACGGUACCAUAAGAAUAAGGAUCGGCUAACUACGUGCCAGCAGCCGCGGUAAUACGUAGGAUCCGAGCGUUGUCCGGAUUUAUUGGGUUUAAAGGGUGCGUAGGCGG